rnacentral:misc_RNA from 1 species
UCCUUUGGCAGUUUUUUUAAAGCUCUAAAAUUUUAUAAUUUUUAGGCUAUUUAAAAAUAAGGGUUGCGCUCGUUAAAGGAGCUAACCAAACAUCUCAAGACACGAGCUAACGACAACCAUGCACCACCUGUGAACCGGCCCCAAAAGGGGAAACCACAUUUCUGCGGCGAUCCGGCCCAUGUCAAGCCUUGGUAAGGUUCUUCGCGUUGCAUCGAAUUAAUCCGCAUGCUCCGCCGCUUGUGCGGGCCCCCGUCAAUUCCUUUGAGUUUUAAUCUUGCGACCGUACUCCCCAGGCGGGGUGCUUAAUGCGUUUGCUGCGCCACCGACCGGCAUGCCGACCGACGGCUAGCACCCAUAGUUUACGGCGUGGACUAC